GGAAUAUUGGUCAAUGGCCGAAAGGCUGAACCAGCUAUUUGAAGGGUUAAUAUAACCAAGAUAGCUUAAUGAUAAUGACAAAUAGCUAUCUUUUAGUCUUGACCAAAUCGCGUGCCAGCAGUCGCGGUAAGACGCGGAAGGCGAGUAUUAUUCAUCUUUAAUAGGUUUAAAGGGUACUUAGACGGUAAAUAUAGCCUAACAAAAUAAGGUACGUAUUAACUAGAGUUUUAUAUGAGAAGGGGAGAAUUAAUUGGAGUAGAGAUGAAAUCCUUUAAUACCAUUAAGACUGGUAAAGGCGAAAGCAACCUUCUAGGUAAAAACUGACGUUGAAGGACGAA
rnacentral:rRNA from 1 species